GGACAAUAUUAAGUUGUGUGUUGUGUUUUUCGUGUGUUUCUCGAAAGUUACACUCUGGAGUCCGGACAGUUCCGCUAGAAAAGCUCUGUUCAAGAAGCCUGAAGAAGCAGAGUGUGUCUAACUAAGAUGGCGCAGGGUCGGCGGCCAGCCUGCUGCUGCCUGUCUGAGGAAUGUUUAUUGUCUGGGGAAAAAAAGGAGCAGGGAGUUAAAAGUCACAUUGGGUUUAAAAGGGCCGACGGAUAUAGCUCAGGAUCAAAGCUGACCUCUCUUCAGCCAGGUUUUGGUCACAGCUUUUGGAUUCUGCUUUGCCAACAAAGGGCAUUGGAGUCCGUCCGGAGGAACAGUCCUCAGUUUCGAAAACACAAAGUUGGCAGAGAACACUGAGUUGAUGUUUACUUUUUGUCAAGCAGUGGUUGUUCAUUACCUUGGGAUUGGAACAUGUCCCCUCGCAGUUUUUUUGGAGCUCAUAAUUGAACUACAUAAGUUUAUGUUGCGUCAGGGCUGAAUGCCUGUCUCGUUCCAGAUGACCGUUGUCUCUCGGUGCAACAUUGUUUCACCUCAUGUUUGUCCCUCUGUUACUAUUUUCUCAUCUCAGGUGCUAUGACAAUGACGUCCUUCCUCAGAAAUGUUUGGGUAGAUGUUUGGACUCUUUCAGUAAAGUAGCCAAUUUAAUUCCUGACUUAUUUCUCGAGCUAAUAUUUGUUUUCGAGUCUGGUAAAUGCCUUGCUACCCUCUGUCUAAUUAUUUAAUAAGCUGCACGCAGUGUUAACUGGUACUUUGACUUUCUGUUUAAUAGCUGUCUGACACAUACAUAUCUACUCUGCACCAUCACGUUAGCCGGCUAGCUUUUAGCUGUGGCCAAUAGCAGUGUUGAACUGUAAUACAGUGUUUCGACAUAUUCCGUUUUCGUCUUUCGCUGCAACUUAUCUUUUCGACGGUCCAGUGUCUGGGAGUUUUUCGUGCGAUAGGUGAUGACAUUGGUCUUAAUAGUUUAGACAUGUGGCAUACAGGGGUUUUGCCCCUUCGACACCACAGUUAAACAGCUUGCUGUCAAAAGAUGAGAAACAAUUUCUUCAGUACUUCCUCAUCCUCCAAGUUUAGCAGAAUACAACGCACCCAGGUACGCAAAACUCCAUUCAGAAUGUGCCAAUUUAAUGCUGCUUUGCACUAUGGAAGACUUUGACGAAGUCCUCUGGUGCAUUUGGCUUACACAUUUCUAAACGGCACGCAAUUUCAUUUAAAUCUCGACAUUUAAAAUAGCUUUGCAGUGAUAUAGUUCACUACGUGUAAUUGCAGUGGAAGAGGACUGCAGUUUAUUUUUUUAAAGAAAACCUGCUAGGCGUCUUUCAUUAAUGCCGAAUAGACGGGAGUCUCCUAAAGACGCUUGGAAGAGUCAUUUGUAACGGGGUGUUUAUGGUUACCGAUAAGCAGUCCUGAAUUACCCCGCAAGAUUUGUGAAUUGGAUUCGGCGUUUAUAGCUCCUCAUUAGAGAAUGACACUGAUAUACCAGUCACCACCGCUGCCCCCAUUCAUGCUUGCUGUUGUUACGAGAUUUUUAUUUUCAUUUUGAAACGGAACUGUGUGCGUUUUUCUUUGUUUCAGUGGGCAGCAUAUUGCAAAAGGAAAAGGCUGUUCAAACAGCCGAUAGUGGUGUUUUUUUUUGUUCAUAUUGACUCGCAGACUCACGCGUUUCCUUUGUGUGACAUUCCUUUGUGUGGAGAAAGAGAGAGGGAGAGAGCCUCACCAUGAGUGGAGGAGCAUGCUUUUCAAACAGCAUACAUAAAGAUCUCAUCAAAACCUCCCCAUGCCAAAAGCACGGUGGUGUCCUCAUAUACCCCAUCGCUGCCUCCAAUGCAGGCUGGUUAUUAAAUUGAUAUGUUGGCUCAGGGACACUCAAGAAGGGAGGGAAUUCCGCUUUCUUUGUCCAGCAAUAGGAUUGUCAUGGCGUGGGUCCACGACCGGAGCUGCAUCAUUUACAUCAGAAAAGAAUCCAAUAUUUUAGAUGCAGAUAAUCUGACCCACAGAUUAGAAAAAAGAAUCGGUGCAUCAGCACACAUUUCAACUGUUAUGUGAGUGACAUGAAUAUCAAGGAUGUAUAUUAGACAGAUAUAUAUUCACAAAAGGAUAGAUAUGAUUUAACCGAUGAGCACCUUCAUGUCACGUUUCUGUUCUGUGUUCAGAACCACACCCCUGCAGCUCACACACACUUGCUUUAGCAGCAUUCAUAUGUAGCAGUGUACUACACACAGAAAAACAUCCUUACACAUCCAAGUGCUGGUAGUGGGCUAAAUUAGGUGGUGUCACUAUUACUCUCCUCAUCCUUCCAGCCUCGGUCAUCCUCCCAUCUAACCGGCUCUGUCCUCAUGCUCUGUCACUUGUUUCUCCCCCUCAGCCCUCCAGUUUAAUUUGUCUGCUCUGAGUCUUGUGCUUCUCCCUCUGCACACUUUAGGUGUAGUAAGUAAAUGGGCCAUAUUUAGCUGGAGUGGCUGGUUAUAAAGGAUGAGUGUUGUGUCAGCACAAUUAGUCAAAUGCAAGCCACUGUCAAGGGAGACUCCAAAUCAGUCCUGACUGUCCCUGACAACAGAGGAUGUGGAGGAUCAGUUUAGGAUGUUAUCUCAGCUCUUCUUGCUCCAGGGUUGCUACUGGUAAUGAAAUUUAAAUAACGGUAUAUCCUACAGUGUGUCCCACUUUCAUACUGCAACGUAUACACUGCGUACUAGGAAAGUUACGAUGUUUUGGCAGUUUGAAUGCAAGAAAUUAACAGGAAAUGAAACUGCAACAAACUGCAUACAUGAAUACUUUUUCUAAUUUCUAAUAAGAAAGUUUCACAAAACAAAAAUCAGUACUUUUUUUUUUCUUACUUUGCUUGUAUUUUAUUUUUCUAUUUUUUUUUUUUUUUUUGCGUUUCCACUUUAUCUGAUAGAGAUAGUGAAGAGAGACAGGAAAGGCAGGGGAGAGAGAGGGGAUGACAUACAGCAAAGGGCAGCAGGCUGGAUUCGAACCCAGGCCGCUGCGGUAAAGACUCAGCCUCGAUACGCGCUCUACCAGAUUUGGCUUUGUGUCAGAAAAAGGGCCUGCAUCUCAAACAUGAAGCCUCCACCCAGACCUCCUCUACCAAGCCAGAGCACACCAUAUUACCCCGCCUGAUGUUGUUUGCUUCUUCCAAAGAAAUGCAGUGACUUUCACUGAAUGUCAUUAUGUGAUGUGAUGUGUAUCUGUGGCUGUAUUUUGAAAAGGGCUCUCUAAUGAGGAGACCACUUUGAAGGCAGAAAUAAAGUCACUGUUUGUUUUCUGUUAAGGCCA